GACGUAGGGUGCGAGCGUUGUCCGGAUUAUUGGGCGUAAAGAGCUCGUAGGCGGCUCGUCGCGUCGACCGUGAAACCCGCGGCUUAACUGCGGCUGCGGUUGAUACGGGCGGCUAGAGUUCGGUAGGGGAGACUGGAAUUCCUGGUGUAGCGGCGAAAUGCGCAGAUAUCAGGAGGAACACCGGUGGCGAAGGCGGGUCUCUGGGCCGAUACUGACGCUGAGGAGCGAAAGCGUGGGAGCGAACAGG
rnacentral:rRNA from 1 species